GAUUCCUACGGGACGCAGCAGUCGGGAAUAUUGCGCAAUGGAGGAAACUCUGACGCAGUGACGCCGCGUAUAGGAAGAAGGUUUUCGGAUUGUAAACUAUUGUCGUUAGGGAAGAGAAAGGACAGUACCUAAGGAGGAAGCUCCGGCUAACUACGUGCCAGCAGCCGCGGUAAUACGUAGGGGGCAAGCGUUAUCCGGAUUUACUGGGUGUAAAGGGAGCGUAGACGGCAGAGCAAGUCUGAAGUGAAAGCCCGCGGCCCAACUGCGGGACUGCUUUGGAAACUGCCCGGCUAGAGUGCUGGAGG
rnacentral:rRNA from 1 species